rnacentral:lncRNA from 1 species
UAACACUGCUUGCAAAGUUUCAUAACAAUAGGAUAUAUAUUAUAGACAAUAUGUUAAAUUCUAUACUCAUCUUUGCGUGUUAAAUUUUGACGUUAAAAUUGAAUAAUUUCAACUAUCAACAUUUUGGGCUUUGAAAAUUAAAAUAUUGCCAAAAAAUACUUUUUAAAUGCUCUAAUAUAUCAUUUAUUAUGUACUUAAAGCAAUAGAGUACUCAUUUGAUUUAUCAGACUUAGCAUAAUUAUUCAAAAGUCAAAUUUAUAUUAGCCUGGGCCUAAAAAUUGAGGUUUUUCAAUGAAAGGGGGCCUUACAUGAAGAUGUAAUUUUUUCCAGCAAUUUUAAAUUUGUGAAGCUUUUUGGUUAUAAAUAAUCCUUACAUAUGUAUUGAAUGUACUUUAAAUGGAAAGAAAAGUCACAAAUAACACAUCAUAUUAGUUUAAAAGGGUCUUAAGCCAAGUAAGACUGGAAAAAAAUAAGGGUCAAUUUAGGCCGUGCCACAUAUUUACAUUAAAAAAUGCAUAUUGAGGCUAUAAGAAAUAAAAAAUUGUGUCUUUUUUAUCAUUUCUAUACUCAUGUGACAUGAUACAACAAAUCUGAGCACAGAAAGACUCUUGCAAUUAACUUUUCUUACAGACAGUAUGGUCUGAUACAAAGAAUUUUGCCUUUUUAAUGAAAAA